rnacentral:lncRNA from 1 species
UCCCUCCUUCCUUCCUUCCUUCCUUCCUUCCUUCCUUCCUUCCUUCCUUCCAUCUAUUUGUAUUUUAAAUUUGGUACUGAAUACUAGUGAGGAUCUGGCUUAAAAUGUCCACAUUGCAUCUGCUUUCAGGCCAUUCCAUACUUAUGUAGAGAACAUGGACAAACAGUUCAAAUAUUUGCUGUGCUCCUCUCUGCAGAAGCCCACCUCCCCCAUUCCCAGCUUUCCCCAGUUGGCUAUAGGUCUUUAGGAUUUCUUGGACUUACCUCACCAACAACUUGAUAGAGGGUUUCUCAUACAAGAUACUGGGUCUUGUUAGAUAGUCUAUGGCUCUUGAGGAAUAUAUAUAUAUAUUAUCAUGUGAUAUUAGAUAAAUAUAAAAUACUACAAUUACCGUUUCAAGCAUAUUUAAUGCUAAUUAUCCCUCCCCCCUCCUCUCCUUCUGUAGUGUCCCUUCUUGUUCCCCCAUUAAAGAUCCACCUUCUUUCCAUUUCCCUAUUUGCCCGUAUCUUGCAUUAUUUCUCUCUAGAUCUCCUUUCAAAGCCUCCAUGGUCCCUUUUUACUUUUCUAGUUUCUGCAGUUAUUCACAUCUAAGGAUUUGGGACUAGGAAUGGUAGAUGAGAGAGAACAUUCAACAUUUAUUUUUCUGGGUCUGGGUUACCUCACUUUAAUACUACUUUUCAAGUCCAUCGAUUUACCUGCAAAUUUUGUGAUUUUAUUUUUUUUUUAUUUUUAACAGCUGAGUAGUAUUCCACUUUUAUAAGUACCAUCUUUUGGUUAUUCAUUCAUUAGCUAAAGGACAUUUAGGGUAUUUCUUCUUCCUUGCUAUUGUGAACAGAGUGGCAAUGAACAUGGGAUCCUGUAUUUUUUUGAGAUCCUAUAUUUUUGGAGCUGUGACCAAAGUCUCCCUUUACUUAGUCAUGGCCUAUGGAUGGUCAUGAAGUUAGAAAGGGUUUCCAAGUGUGUUAAUGAUAUCACAGUUGAAGUUAUGUCAUGAAGAUAGUUUAUGAAAAAGUUACCCUGAAGAUAGUUCCCAUAUUAAAGGAGAGAGGAAGAAGAGUCCCAAGUCUUGGACUGUAACAGACUUCCCUACAUUUUGAUUUCUAGAAUAUCAUAUUGGAUAUGCUUAUCUUGAGACUGUAUUUAUAUUAGGGGAUUUGGACAAAAACAAAAAUGUGAACACAUAACAAACUUUAAAAUAAUGAACAACAGUAUUACAUUACACAUCUAAUGUUGUAGCCAUUUGCCUUGUUCAGGCUACUGGCUGCUGAGAACUGUAAAUGUAUUAGCUACUGGCUACUAUAUAUUGGAAUACUGUUGAGUGGAAACAUGGCUGUACAGAUGGGAUACUCUGUAAGGAUAAAAUGUUCUUUAGUGUCUAACAACUUAUCAUGAAAGAAGUGUGAAGUAAUCAAGUUAAAUAUUAAUGAUGGUAUUAAAAGUGGUGAAUGGUACAACAUUGGUAUUUUUGGUACAUUUGUUACAAUUUUUAGGAGUAAUAUUUGUUCUAUUCAUAUUUAUUUUAGUUUUAUUUCCUUUUGAGAUGGGAUUUCAUAAAGCCCAGAUUAGUAUUGAGGUCACUUUGUAGGCAGCAAUAACCUUGAACUUCUGGUCCUCUUCCUGCCUUCAUCAUGUGAGUGCUUUGAUUAUGUGUGGAUGCAGAUGCACACAGAGAUUCAUGGUGGGGCUUGAACCCAGGGCUUCAUGAGUGUUGGAAAAUCACUCUCCUAACUGAGCUAUAUCACCAACUCAGUUUUGCUUUUGUUCUAAAAUGUGGCUUCUAAUAUCUACUUAUAAGUAAACACAUGCCAUGCUUUUCUUUCUGUGUCUAGGUUACCUAAUUCAGGAUGAUUUUUUUUCCAGUUCCAUCCAUUUGUCUGUAAAUUCCAUGAUGCAGUUUUUAAAAAACAGCUGAGUAAUACUCUGUUGUGUAACUGUACCACAUUUUAAAAUUCUUUCCUCAUAUAUUACAUCUUAACCAGUUUUCCCUCCCUCUCCUUCCUCUGGUUUUUUCAGCCAUCUCCCCUCUCUCCCAGAUACACCUCCCCUCCAGAGGGAAACCAACCAAACAUGGUAUAAUAAGCUACAAUAAAAACAGGCAUGUACUGUCACAUCAAGGCUGGACAAUGCAACCCAGUGGGAGGAAGAGGGUUUCACAAGUAGGAAAACGAGUCCAAGACAACACCUACUCCCACUGUUAGGAUUCCCACAUGAACACCAAGCUACACACCCAUAACAUAUAUGCAGAGCAUUUAGGUCAUAUCCCUAUAGGUUCUUUGAUCUCUGACUCCCUAUGAGUAUCAAUCAGUUGAAUUUGUAGGCAUGUUCUUGUGGUGUGUCCCUGACUCCUCUGGUUCCUCUGAUCCUUCCUUCCCCUCCCCACAGGAUUCCCUGUGCUCCACCUAAUGUCUGAGUGCAUACCACAUUUUUUUACUCCAUUCUUCUGUUGAAGGACAUCUAGUUUUUUUUGGGUUUUUUUUUUUUUUUCAGUUUUGGGCUGUUAUGAAUCAAGCAGCAAUGAACAUGGCCGAGCCAGUGUCCCGGUAGGAUGAAUCCUCCUUUGGCUAUAUUCAGGAGUGGUAUUUCUGGGUAUUGAGGUAGAUCAAUUCCCAGUUUUCUGAUAAACUGCCAUAUUGAUUCCCAAAGUGGCUAUACAAGUUUGUACUCCCACCAGCAAUGGAGGAGUGUUCCCCUUGCUCCACAUCCCUGCCAGCGUGAUCUGUCACUUGUGUUCUCUAUCUUAGCCAUUCUCACAAGUAUAAGAUGGAAUUUUAAAGUCCUUUCAUUUGUAUUUUUCUGAUGGCUAAGAAGUUUGAACAUUUCUUUAAGUGCCUCUUGGCCAUUAGAGAUUCCUCUGUUGAGAAUUCUCUGUUUAGAUCUGUACCCUAUCCUUUUAAUUGGAUUAUUUAGUUUAUGUCUUGUUUCUUGAGUGCUUUAUAUAUUUUGAAUAUUAGUCCUCUGUCAGAUGUGGAGCUUGUGAAAAAUCUUUUCCCAUUCUGUCAGCUACCAUUUUGUCCUAUUGAUGGUGUCAUUUGCCUUACAGAAGCUUUUCAGUUUUAUGAGGUUGUAUUUAUUAAUUGUUAAUAUUAGUGCCUGCAUUAUUGAUGUUCUUUUCAGAAAAUUGUCUCUUAUGCCAAUGCAUUCAAAGCUAUUUCUCACUUUCUCUUCUAUUAGGUUCAGUGUAUCUGGAUUUAUGUUGAGGUCUUUGAUCCAAUUACAUGAGUUUUAUGCAGAAUUUUAGAUUAAAAAAAUCAAUGAAAUGAUUCCUAAUGAUAUUCUGCUGUACAUGUAGACCAGAGCCUAGCAUAAUCAUCACCAGAGAGGUUUUCUUCCAGCAACUGAUAGGAGCAGAUACAGAGACCCACAGCCAAGCAUUAGGGUGGAGCCUUCGAAAUUCCAAGGAAGAGGAGGAGGAAGAAGAAGAGGAGUUGGAGGAGGAAGAGGAGGAAGAAGAGGAGGAAGAGGAGAAGCCUGAGAGGACAAGGACACAAUAAGAACAUGGCCCACAGAGUCAAAUAAUUAGGGCUCACAGGGGCUUACAAAGACUGGAGUGACAAUUAGGGAGCUUAUAUGGGUCUGACUGAGGUCCUUUGCAUGCAUGUUGUGUAGCUUGGUAUCCUUGUAGGACUACUAACAGUGGGAGUGGGGGCUGUCUCUGAGUCUUUUGCCUAAUAUUGGGAGCUAUUCCCUCAUUGCGGAUUGGAUAAUGCAUUCUUUAUAUAAGGAUAUGUGCCUAGCCUUAUUGUAACUUGUUAUGUCAUGUUUGGUUGAUAUCCCUGGGAGGCCUGCUCUGUUUUGAAGGAAACAAAGUAAGAGUGAAUCUGGGAAAGAAGGGAAGUCUGGGAGAGGGCCAGAAGGAGAGAAGGGAGGGGAAACUGUACUGUGGAUAUAAUAUAUGAGAGAUAAAUAAAUAAAUAUGGCUUCUAGAUAGUUUAAAAUGAUACAUGGGGCUACAUUCCAUUUCAAUUGGCCAGUACUCCUCUCUAUACUAAGCCUUUAUGGUUUUUUAUGUGGAAGCUGUCACUGUGUCCCAGAAGCCUCAUAGAUACCAUUGUGGAUGAGGACACAGAGGGAUUAUGGUGAGCAGGUGAAAGGAUAGGGUGCUCUGAAUCCACUGUGAGGACGGAUCCCCCACGACUCAGAUGGAGUCUCCACAGAGUCUGUUAGGUGUGCAUACACACACAGCCAUCCAGCUUCAUCGCAACCAGCUGACCCAGAAUGGUUAAAGGUAGUCCAGAGGUGAUGUGUCCAGAGGUGAUGUAGUAGGCUACCAAUUUAUAGCGAAGUAAAGAAUGGAUGGGAAGAACCCACUCCUCCCAUUUGGGUUAGAAAAUCCUCUGUUGUAGUAGAUAUCCAGUGUUUCAUGAGUUAUUCAGCAUUGUCCACAAAGUCUAGAUAUCAGUGAAAAACACCACUAUAUAACCUACCAAUGACCCAGGAUAAGAGAAUAUGAACAUUGUAUGUCAAUACAUUUGAUGCAAAUAUAGAAGAUCAACAAAAGACCAGACAUCAAAAUUAACCAAAGAGGAAACAGAAACUUUGACUCCACUGGUGUCAAUAAAAUAAAUUGUAUAAAAGUAUGUUCAAGUUAUUGAAAAUGAAACAUAAGUUUUAUACAUGGACUUGAUUCUUACUCCUGAGAUACUUCAUGCUAGAUCUGCAAGCUUUAUAGUUGGAAAACAAAUUCCAAAGAUGAAAGCAGUCUGGUCCCUCUCAAGUCUUUCAUACCAUUUGCAUACAGAUGUAAUUUCUGUGAUUCAUGUACUGAUAGCUCAUCCAUGACAUAUAUUUAAAUUAUAAAAAAAUACAUUCUAUAAAGCACUUGCAUACAUACUAUGAAAACAUAUUUUAAUAUAUUUACAGUGUUGUAAUACGUUAUAUGAAAAUGCUGUUUAUAAGUGGAGAUGCCUGGUUUUUAAAGCACUAAGGUAUAGUAAUAGAUAAUAAAGUUUGCUUUCAGAUGUAAACCUUUGUUUGAGAAUGUAGAAUAUAUCUUACAACUGGCCAUAAUCACAAAUAUCAAUUUUGACAUUAGGAAAACUCAAAAUUGCUAGUAAAAAAUAAAGAAAGAAAGAAACUUAUGGUUGAUGGAACAUCACACAUUCAGGCUUCCACUGUAAUUUGUUCCACAGGCCAAAGCCAAUAUUGUCAAAACCCUGCAGGCAAUACUACAGAUUCUAAAGAUUUGGUGUCGUUAUAUCCUCCAUAGUAUUAGAUGGACUGCAAACAGAAAAAUGUUCUUCACUCAAUUUCUCUCUCUCUUUUUUCUUUUCUUUUUUCCUCUUCUUUCUUUCUCUCUCUCUCUCUUUCUCUCUUUCUUUCUUUCUUUCUUUCUUUCUUUCUUUCUUUCUUUCUUUCCUUCCUUCCUUCCUUCCUUCCUUCCUUCUCUUUUCUUUUCUUUUCUUUUCUUUUCUUUUCUUUUCUUUUCUUUUCUUUCUUUUCUUUACUUUUAUUUUCUUUGGAUGAGAAAGUAACAGCUUUAUGUAAGAAAUUAUUACCCUGAUAAUUGCAGUAUAAAUUUUCUUUAGCACUGAACACUGGAACAAAGUGGUCACCAGUGGGUCCAGACAGAGAGCUGAUAUGUGUUGUGCACCAGUUUUUUUUUUUGUACAGCAUAAAAAGGUGGUACAUGUUAGUAAGUUACCUCCUUAGUGAAACAUGCGUUCUAUGUUCACUAAUAACUAUUAAUCCCAUAUGACAGUUGCCAGUGAGUCAUACACACACAUACACACACACACAUUGUAAUAUAUUACACAUUUUUGUAAUCACACAGACUUUGUGUUUUCUCUGCCCUGAUUGUGGCAUAGACUGAUAGCUCUAAAAGUGCAUGCCAAAUUGUCAAAGGCUGUCAGACUGUAACACGGUGUUCGAUCUGGAGCGAAGAGUGUGUCCUCAGGUUUCUGGCCUGUCUUUUAUGUCUCAGAAGCACAAAUUGUUAAACAAUCUGGGGAAAUUGAAAGCAGCAAAUGUGCAAUAAAAUACCCUAUGUAGUUCAAGGCUACCAAACAAAGAAGGCCAAGAAGCUCCACUGUACUCUGGCAUUCCAGGGUGGUUUACCUGAAGAAAGUCCACUCACCAGACACUUAAAGAAAAACAGAUGCAAUUUCACAAAUAAACUUCUGGAAGUGCAUUUAACGCCACUUUUUCUGUAUUUCUGCUAAAGCUCAAUGCUUUCUUAAAUAUUCUGUCGUAAAAACUAAACGAGACAAGAGCGAUCUUUGUGUUCCUCUCCUCCCAAGGCUUUCAGCAUGGCCUUUAAAUGACCUCCCUCUUGGAGAGCACUUUAAUUAAGGACUGUAUUGUGAGAGGUCAUAACGUAAACCUAAGAUCUCCCUGUGAUAAGCAUGCUUUGUUUAUGACUCUCCCUCAGCCCUGUGCCGUAUCCUGUUGGGACAGUCACCGCUUCUUCCUUGCUUCUGCAUGUGCCAGAAAACUCCCGGGAGCUCAAGAUGUCUGUCCAACUGAGGCUUGGUCUUUGUGCUUCUGGGAGUGGCUCCCAGGGCCUCAGGCAUUCAGGGUAAUCCUUGUACCCUAGAGUUGCAAUCUAACUAUCUCUUUUUCCUGAUAAAGUUCUUUCUCCCUUAAGAACUCUCCUCUGGUCACUGCAUGGGUCCUGGUGAACUUAUUGUUUUUAAAAUGUCAUAUUUACUUAGAUCAAACAAAAAGCCACUAUAUUGAAAAUGAGAUAGUUAACUGCUUUUUGUUUUUUUGUUUUUCUUUUUGUUUUUUUUUUUUUUAAAGAGAAUUCCUAUCUUUUCCUGCCAAGAGCACUAUAUGUAUUUUAGUCACAUCAGGAAGUGGAGAUGAAUUUGACACCUUCUAUUUUAUCUAAGAAAGCAUUUUACUGUGGUUUUGCCUUGUAACAAAGGUAAAAGGGAUAAAAACACCUUAACUCUUCAGGGUCAGAAUUAAUUUACAUUGAUAUGUUUUAGAAUUGUCUUCAUCUUCUCAUGCUCAAAUAUAGCCCUUAAUCAAAGAACUGUAAGGCAGGCGUCUGUAGCAAGGUAAAGGGAUGGAGCUCAAAAUUCGGAAGGCAUUAUAAAGAAGCCAGCUUACCAAAGGCUGAAUCUAGAUGCUGCAAGGCAUGCUCAUGUGUCAAAACAAUCCAGCACGGGGCUCUGCCAUUUAAGCUAGGUGAAGAGGUGGUUGAACUAUGGACUCUUGAAAAAUAUGCCUAAGAUCAGACACUGGCAGCAAACUCUUUUCCUCAGGCUCCUAUACCAAGUUCCACCAAAUUAAGCCAUUUGAAUUUAACAGAAAUAUAGUUUGAGCAAUUUGGAAGCCGGAAUCAAAGACUGGACAGGUUUGUCUCUUUGGGAGCCAGUGAAAGAGAAAUGAUCAUAUCUUUCCUCUGGUUCCCUAGUGUGUGUCAGCCGUUGUGAUGUCCUUCAGCUCAGAGUCAUAGCACUCCAGUUUCUGCCUCCACCUUUACGUGGCAUCUGCCUCAUGGUGUAUCCUUUUCUGAUUCUUACAAAGAAACAUGUCACUGCACUUAGUGACCUCCACAAUCCAGGGUCAUCAAUACAUACCUAGAUAAAGACUCUAUUUCAAACAGUAUCCCAUCCUAAGGUUUUGGGUGGACAAUUAUUUCACUGGACCAGUAUUGAUUCCACUGCAUCAUAACAGGAAGUGACUGAUGCUACAGAAGAGCGUAUGCACAUAAGACAUGGCCUCACCCAAGGUGUCAGGCUCCAGCAGCAGUGAGAAGGGCUGAUGAAGGAUUGGUCAAUGAGGGUAGAGUGCUCACAUAGUUCAGUGUCCCAAGGAAGCUAAGUUCUUGCUGCCAGGGUAGGAAGUUAGCAUUUGGUACCUAGAUGGAAAGGGUAGGAGGGUUCCCAGAUACCACCUUAGAGAUACUGAGAGGUGACUUUAUAGUAUGGUAACAAAAAUGUAAAUGUGAAUGUGUAUUACCUAGCCUUGACCUGUCGUGACCUGGCCACAAGGCCAUGCAACAACAAUAAGCACACUCAGCUUCCACAUCUUUGUAGCUCAGCUACUUGAAAAAUGGCUGGAGGGCAGCAACCAAAGUAUAAUGGAGACUUUGGUUUGUUUAGACCUUUUGUCUAUGAGGUGGACCCACUCAUAUUCAGGAAAACCAUGUGCUCAAAAUAAUCCUCCUUUCCCCUUCACCAGAACCCCGUCAUAGAUACAAAUAGAAGUGUACUUUACUAAUCUCUUAAUUGCCUCUAAGGCCAAUCAGGUUGACAAGGUUAGUCAUGGAUGGGGAAAGUAUUAUCAGAGAAGCAACUCAGAACUAAGAGUCUAACAGAUAGAAAAAAAAGAAUAAAAAGGAAUCUAGCAAGGCAGGGAUGUGAACGUUGGUGUGUGAUUCUGAACUGGAUCCAGAAUUUUGACCAGUGAAUGUGGUAUGAAAAUAGGAGUUCCUUUGCUUAGGGAAUGCCUGGAGUAGAGAUACCCAUUGCUUUUAGUUGUGGUAGUGGUGGAGGAGGAGGAAGAGAAGGGUGAGGAGGGUGAGGAGACAUCUAUGACAAGAAUGAAAAUGGAAGGAUGGCUGAAGAAACCUUGAAAUAUCUACAUAGCUUCUGUGCACUAAAUAUUUUAGAUUCCUGGAAUAGAAAUUGCCUGAUUUCAUAUGCAGAAACCACUUGUCUAAUCAUGUUAUUUAAAUUUAUUUAUUUAUAGCAGGGUGGUGGUGGCGCACACCUUUAAUCCCAGCACUUGGGAGGCAGAGGCACGCAGAUUUCUGAGUGCGAGGCCAGCCUGGUCUACAAGCCUUUAGAGAACCUGAAAUGUACUUUGUCAGGAAACCCAACACUGGAGACCCAGAAAUCAUGAAAUUAAAAUGUUUUCAUGAAAGUGAAUAAUACAGACUCCUUCCAACAACUAAAGAAGAUGGAUGAGUGUGAGAAGUCAGGACUGCAUUACCCCAACAUGGGAGAGUUGGGAGCUAUUCAUUGAGCUUAAGAACUAGAGGAGACCAUGGAAAGCAUGCCAAGACCUUUUUAUGAUGCCAGUUUGGAAGGCUGAACCAUCAUACUAUUCUUCAAGGGAAUAAUAACUCCAGCUUAAUAUCUGUAUAUCUCUGUAGGCAGGUUCAUGAAAUUCAGUUCCCAUUAGAGCAUUCAGGGAAGUCCUCUGGGUCUCCUCACAUAUUCACACUGCAAGGCAGUUACAGGAAUCAGGCCCAUGCAUCCACAGGUCAUCAUUUCAGCCACGCCAACUAAAUGCAGCAUGCAGCACAGCGACAUCAGAGAUGUACCUAGAAAAGUAGUUCCCAGGAGAGGUAUUGCGGGAUCCUCCAGUAGAACUACGUCCAAUACCUCUCCUGGGCAUAUAUCCAGAAGAUGUUCCAACUGGUAAGAAAGACACAUGCUCCACUAUGUUCAUAGCAGCCUUAUUUAUAAUAGCCAGAAGCUGGAAAGAACCCAGAUGCCCCUCAACAGAGGAAUGGAUACAGAAAAUGUGGUACAUUUACACAAUGGAGUACUACUCAGCUAUUAAAAAGAAUGAAUUUGUGAAAUUCCUAGGCAAAUGGAUUAACCUGGAGGGCAUCAUCCUGACUGAGGUAACCCAAUCACAAAAGAACUCACAUGACAUGUACUCACUGAUAAGUGGAUAUUAGCCCAGAAACUUAGAAUACCCAAGAUACAAGAUACAAGAUACAAAGCACAUGAAACGCAAGAAGAACGAAGAGCAAAGUGUGGGCAGUUUGCUCCUUCUUAGAAUUGGGAACAAAACACCCAUGGAAGGAGUUACAGAGACAAAGUUUGGAGCUGAGACUCCAAACGCAGACACCAUUGCACACACUAGCAAGAUUUUGCUGAAAGGACCCUGAUAUAGCUGUCUCUUGUGAGACUAUGCCGGGGCCUAGCAAACACAGAAGUGGAUGCUCACCUUCAGCUAUUGGAUGGAUCACAGAGCCCCCAAUGGAGGAGCUAGAGAAAGUACCCAAGGAGCUGAAAAGGUCUGCAACCCUAUAGGUGGAACAACAAUAUGAACUAACCAGUACCCCCUAGAGCUCUCUAGCUGCAUAUGUAGCAGAAGAUGGCCUAGUCAGCCGUCAGUGGAAAGAGAGGCCCAUUGGUCUUGCAAACUUUAUAUGCCCCAGUACAGGGGAACGCCAGGGCCAAGAAGUGGGAGUGGGUGGGUAGGGGAGUGGAGGGGGAGGGUAUGGGGGACUUUUGGGAUAGCAUUGGAAAUGUAAAUGAGG